AAGUCAUAACAAGGUUUCUGUAGGUGAACCUGCAGAAGGAUCAUUAGUGAAUCUAUGGUUGUGGAUUCGUCCCAACCUAUUCUUCUUUUGAUACACCUGUGCACCGGUAGAGGUUGUCGCUUGUCGAUGGCCCUACCAACUUCAUACCAAACACAUUUCUGUUUUGAACGUAACAUCUUAUAAUAAAAGAUAACUUUUGACAACGGAUCUCUUGGUUCUCCCAUCGAUG
rnacentral:misc_RNA from 1 species